GACGAACGCUGGCGGCGUGCUUAACACAUGCAAGUCGAACGGAAAGGCCCUGCUUUUGUGGGGUGCUCGAGUGGCGAACGGGUGAGUAACACGUGAGUAACCUGCCCUUGACUUUGGGAUAACUUCAGGAAACUGGGGCUAAUACCGGAUAGGAGCUCCUGCUGCAUGGUGGGGGUUGGAAAGUUUCGGCGGUUGGGGAUGGACUCGCGGCUUAUCAGCUUGUUGGUGGGGUAGUGGCUUACCAGGGCUUUGACGGGUAGCCGGCCUGAGAGGGUGACCGGCCACAUUGGGACUGAGAUACGGCCCAGACUCCUACGGGAGGCAGCAGUGGGGAAUAUUGCACAAUGGGCGGAAGCCUGAUGCAGCAACGCCGCGUGCGGGAUGACGGCCUUCGGGUUGUAAACCGCUUUCGCCUGCGACGAAGCGUGAGUGACGGUAAUGGGUAAAGAAGCACCGGCUAACUACGUG
rnacentral:rRNA from 1 species